GUAAGGCGUUACCAAUGUUCCUAGAAAGCUCUGUUGUGGCAGCACCUGCAUGCCCUUGCCUAUUUGGCUAUGCUAAAGUCCACAAGAAACCAGCGAAGAUUAGACCAAUCGUUGAAAAGUUUAGGUCACCUUUAUAUAUAAUAGAGAAGAAACUAGCCAAAUGGUGUAGGUCAAGACUAAAGGGUUAUGAUUACUCAAUUGACUGCACUGAGAAGUUACUUGAUAAGCUUUUGGAAAAAGGUUGUUCCUGGAAGAAACACUAAUGACAUUUGACUUUGUCUCUUUAUCCCUCGAUCCAGAUAGAACCGGCUUGUAUUGAGCUUUAUCAUCUGCUUUAUAAUGGCCUACAGGAAGUGGAGGAGCG
rnacentral:lncRNA from 1 species